GCAUUGGUGGUUCAGUGGUAGAAUUCUCGCCUCCAAUGAGGGAGACUCAGGUUCGAUUCCUGGCCAAUGCA